rnacentral:rRNA from 1 species
AUGGGUCGCCUCCAUUGCUUCCCCCUCCUCCAACUCCUCAUCAUGCAGUCGCAGAUGAUCGGCCUCUCAGCCAGUGGCUUCCCUGUCCCGCCAUUGGAGCAAGACGAUGGAGGCACGAGGUGGGCCGUCCUGAUCGCUGGGUCGAACGGCUACGACAACUAUCGUCACCAGGCAAACGUAUGCCACGCCUACCAGAUCCUCAAGACCGGCGGGUUGAAGGAGGAGAAUAUCGUCGUCUUCAUGUACGACGAUAUUGCGGGCAAUCCUGAGAAUCCCCGCCCGGGUGUCAUCAUCAAUCACCCGAAAGGCGGCGACGUGUACGCGGGAGUUCCCAAGGACUACACCGGCGAUGAUGUCAACGUGAAUAAUUUCGUCGCCGCGCUGCUCGGCGACAGGUCGAGACUCACCGGCACCGGAAGCGGGAAGGUUAUCCUCAGCGGGCCGAACGACCACGUUUUCGUCUACUACGCCGACCACGGCGGCCCAGGGAUCCUCGGGAUGCCAAACGGUGAGUUCCUGUACGCCAAACAACUGGUGCAAACUCUGGAGAAGAAGUACUCCGGCGGGGCGGGGUACAAAAGUCUGGUGAUCUACGUCGAGUCGUGCGAAGCUGGCACGAUAUUCGAUGGCCUCCUCCCGCGCGACAUUGCUGUGUACGCGACGACCGCCUCUAACUCGACGGAGUUCAGCUAUGCCGCCUAUUGCCCCGACGACGACGAGCCCUCUGAGUUCCACACUUGCCUCGGCGACCUGUACAGCGUGGCAUGGAUGGAAGACAGCGAGGCGCACAAUAUGCGCGUCGAAUCCCUCAAGGAGCAGUUGGAGCGAGUCCGGAAUCGCACGGGGACACACUCCCACGUCAUGGAGUACGGUGACCUGGACAUCAGCGCCCAGAAGGUCCACGCAUUCAUGGGCACGAACCCGGCCAACGACAACAUCACCGUCGCGGAUCUCCGGGUGCAGCCGUCGGCGGAGCGUGAGCUUCCGCGGGACACUAUGGCACGGCGGGCUGAGGAGGACAGGAGGUUCGACUUGAUCAGCAGCUUCCUGUUGGGCUCCGAGAAAGGCCAUGCGCUCACCGCAGGCCGGCUGGCCGGGCAGCCCCUGGUCGAUGACUGGCGCUGUCUCGAGACCAUGGUGAGCAGCUACGAGGAUCACUGCGGUCCGCUGUCGACCUACGGGCGCAAGUACCUCCGGGUGCUUGCCAGCGUCUGCAACGCUGGCAUCCCAGAGGAGGUCAUGGCGAAGGCGGCAUCUCAGCUGUGCUGGACUGUUUUCAGUGCCCAAGCUCGUGCUAAUAACUAG